ACCCCUGCCAGAUCGACGUCUUGGGUUUUGUACAAAUUGAAGCAUUUGCCUCACGUUUCUCAUCAAGAUAUAUUCGCAUUGGAGACUGUUAUCAGUUCUUGAAGCAGACAUUGCUCGAAGCCAGCUAUAUAGACAGAUAAGAAUGAAGAAGACCUCGAAGGCAAAGAGAUUAUCAAAAAAUUGAUGUUCAGGGCAAGCAUUAAUUUUCAAGGAUAAGGGGUUAUGUCUUAUGUCUGUUUUGUAUUAUGUCUUAAAGGGGGUAUUCUUCGGACAAGACUCAUCAAAUAUUUCUACAUGGUUAAUUAAAUGGAAUUUUGAAGAACACAA